rnacentral:rRNA from 1 species
UACGUAGGGUGCGAGCGUUAAUCGGAAUUACUGGGCGUAAAGAGCUCGUAGGUGGUUUGUCGCGUUGUUCGUGAAAACUCACAGCUUAACUGUGGGCGUGCGGGCGAUACGGGCAGACUGGAGUACUGCAGGGGAGACUGGAAUUCCUGGUGUAGCGGUGGAAUGCGCAGAUAUCAGGAGGAACACCGGUGGCGAAGGCGGGUCUCUGGGCAGUAACUGACGCUGAGGAGCGAAAGCGUGGGGAGCGAACAGG